UCGCCACGGUAAUACCCGCUCCCCGAGUGGUGGGACGUUUUACUUGAGCUUAAAGCGCCCGUAGCCGGUCAUGCUUGUCUCCAGUUAAAUCCAGCAGCCUAACUGCUGGGCCGCUGGAGAUACUGCAUGACUUGGAGGCGGGAGAGGCCACUGGUAGUCCCGGGUAGGAGUGAAAUCCACUGAUCCCGGGAGGACCUGCAGUGGCGAAGGC
rnacentral:rRNA from 1 species